GUCUACUUCCUCUCAAGUAGGUCUGUCAUCUAGUCCUUCAGGAUCCACAGUCUCAGAAAGUGAUUGGGAUCGGCCAUAGAGAAUGAGGACUUUAUGUAUUGGAUCAACUCAAAACCCCUCACACUGCGGCUGUUGUUCAUGGUGUGAAUUUGUCAUCCUUUCAUUUGAAUCCCUCUUCAUCUGUGUUUUAUUUAUGGCACUCUCGCCUUGGUCAUGUUUCUGUGUCUCGUUUAAAAUUUUUAGUUUCUACAGGAGCUUUAGGAAAUUUGAAAACUCAUGAUAUUUCUGAUUGCAGUGGUUGUAAACUAGCCAAGUUUAAUGCAUUGCCUUUUCCUAAAA